AGAGUGGCAUGGCUGUCCUCGGAUCCACGUGCGUGCAUGGCGUGUCUCUGCCCCAGAGGAGGCUCUUCCUGCAGCUUCUGGGGCCCUGGGACAGUGGCCUCGGACACCCUCUGAGGGCUUUGGCUUUUCGGAGCCCUGCGUGUCUGGGGGCAGCACUGUUUGCCUGCUGAUCCUUCAGAAUCCCCGGCUGCUCCACAGUGCUCACAGCCGAGAGCAGAGGCUGCCUGGGCUCUGGUUGCGCAGCAGUGGGCGCUCGUCCCCUUCCUGUCCGGGCCCCCCGACAUCACCUCUGGCCUUCUGCACCCUCGCUGUAGAUUGGCUUUCCAACUCCACCCCCCAAAAAGACGGGCCGUAGUGGGGGCUUCCAGGAGCACCAGGCCAGGGGUGCUUUGCCCAGGACCAGAGUGGGGACUAACCGGGCCAGUGGUGAAAAAUAUAAUUAGCCUGUCAGUGUGGAGUCUUCCCUCACUGCUCUGCUCACCGCCGGCCCCUGAGCCAGCCUGUUUCUUGUAAGUGAAAACAGAUUUCCUGACAAGGGGCAAGAUCAUAAACUUGUUCAAAGGCUCCCAAAUAAAAAGGGCGGUUUUAACUUUUCCCUCUCAGCAAACCAAAUUGUGAGUAGGCUUCUAGACCAUUCCGUCACCGCAGGAAGGGUUUGAGAGCCUGAGGCUCCUGACUGCUGGGAACCUUAGGGGAGAGGGGCUCUGGGAGGCGUCUGGUUUAACCCACCCCACUGCCAUCUGGAACACUUUUUCUCAGUGAAGUCCCAGCCCCUAGCCCCAGCCUCAGUGAGACCAGAGUUCCCACUGGCCUGCUAGCCAGUCUGCCCUGGGGCUGAGGGCCCAGGCCUAGAGGCUGUUCUCUGAGUCACUGUUUUCUGAGGUGACGCCAGUGGAAGACGAGUCCUACCUAGCAAGCCUCUAGUCCUUCCUUUCUCUGCAAGCUGCCUUAGCUCAACUUUUGUCUUCGGAUUAAACUAGUUAAAGGAAGCAACUGUGGAUGCCCCCCAGAAGUGCAUUCUACUAGGGGCUGAGCUUCCUGGAAGGGCAGCAGGACUGCUCCUCUCCCUGGGGGCCUGGAGCCAGCUUCUUUGGCUUGCAGCUGCUCUGUACUGAGGAAGGGCCCUGUCCUGUACCCUUCGUGUGGCUUCUCGGAGUUCCUGGUGUGCUGGGUGCCAGGGCUUCUGUGUGCUGGCCUUCUUCCCUACUGGGCUCUGAGUUUCUUGGGGGUGUGGGCUUUGUGUAAUCUUCUCAACACUGCAUCCUGGUGCCUGGCACACAGUAGGUCUUGAGUUUGUAUUAAUACUUGUUGAAGUGACGGACAGAUGGAUGGGCAGAUGGACACAGGAAUGGUUGUCAGAGAAGGAAACAAGAAGUGGCCUUGCCAAGAACAGAUCACGUCAUCAGGGGUUGAGAACCAGCAUGCACUGUCCCCUGCUUUGAUGGGACAGGGACAUCACAGGCCUAUUCUGGCAGGAUGACAGAUUCUAG
rnacentral:lncRNA from 1 species